GCUGGGUUUAGAACGUCGUGAGACAGUUCGGUCCCUAUCUGCCGUGGGCGCUGGAGAACUGAGGGGGGCUGCUCCUAGUACGAGAGGACCGGAGUGGACGCAUCACUGGUGUUCGGGUUGUCAUGCCAAUGGCACUGCCCGGUAGCUAAAUGCGGAAGAGAUAAGUGCUGAAAGCAUCUAAGCACGAAACUUGCCCCGAGAUGAGUUCUCCCUGAGACUUAGAGUCUCCUGAAGGAACGUUGAAGACGACGACGUUGAUAGGCCGGGUGUGUAAGCGCAGCGAUGCGUUGAGCUAACCGGUACUAAUGAACCGUGAGGCUUAACCUUAC
rnacentral:rRNA from 1 species